rnacentral:rRNA from 1 species
UAGCCGACCUGAGAGGGUGACCGGCCACAUUGGGACUGAGACACGGCCCAAACUCUUACGGGAGGCAGCAGUUGGGAAUAUUGCACAAUGGGGGAAACCCUGAUGCCCCGACGCCGCGUGAGCGAUGAAGUCGUUCGGUAUGUAAAGCUCUCUCAGCAGAGAAGAAAUGACGUACCUGACUAAGAAGCACCGGCUAAAUACG